rnacentral:rRNA from 1 species
GAUGAACUCUGGCGGCGUGCUUAACACAUGCAAGUCGAACGAAGCGCUUGAAUGGAAUUCUUCGGAAGGAAGCUCAAGUGACUGAGUGGCGGACGGGUGAGUAACGCGUGGGUAACCUGCCUCAUACAGGGGGAUAACAGUUAGAAAUGACUGCUAAUACCGCAUAAGCACACGUGAUCGCAUGAUCGAGUGUGAAAAACUCCGGUGGUAUGAGAUGGACCCGCGUCUGAUUAGCUGGUUGGUGGGGUAACGGCCCACCAAGGCGACGAUCAGUAGCCGGCCUGAGAGGGUGAACGGCCACAUUGGGACUGAGACACGGCCCAAACUCCUACGGGAGGCAGCAGUGGGGAAUAUUGCACAAUGGGGGAAACCCUGAUGCAGCGACGCCGCGUGAAGGAUGAAGUAUUUCGGUAUGUAAACUUCUAUCAGCAGGGAAGAAAAUGACGGUACCUGACUAAGAAGCCCCGGCUAACUACGUGCCAGCAGCCGCGGUAAUACGUAGGGGGCAAGCGUUAUCCGGAUUUACUGGGUGUAAAGGGAGCGUAGACGGCAGUGCAAGUCUGAAGUGAAAGCCCGGGGCUCAACCCCGGGACUGCUUUGGAAACUGUGCAGCUAGAGUGUCGGAGAGGCAAGCGGAAUUCCUAGUGUAGCGGUGAAAUGCGUAGAUAUUAGGAGGAACACCAGUGGCGAAGGCGGCUUGCUGGACGAUGACUGACGUUGAGGCUCGAAAGCGUGGGGAGCAAACAGGAUUAGAUACCCUGGUAGUCCACGCCGUAAACG